rnacentral:rRNA from 1 species
GACGAACGCUGGCGGCGUGCUUAACACAUGCAAGUCGAACGAUGAAGCCUAGCUUGCUAGGUGGAUUAGUGGCGAACGGGUGAGUAAUACGUGAGUAACCUACCUUUAACUCUGGGAUAAGCCCGGGAAACUGGGUCUAAUACCGGAUACGACCAAUCUCCGCAUGGGGUGUUGGUGGAAAGCGUUAUGUAGUGGUUAUAGAUGGGCUCACGGCCUAUCAGCUUGUUGGUGAGGUAACGGCUCACCAAGGCGACGACGGGUAGCCGGCCUGAGAGGGUGACCGGCCACACUGGGACUGAGACACGGCCCAGACUCCUACGGGAGGCAGCAGUGGGGAAUAUUGCACAAUGGGCGCAAGCCUGAUGCAGCGACGCCGCGUGAGGGAUGACGGCCUUCGGGUUGUAAACCUCUGUUAGCAGGGAAGAAGAGAGAUUGACGGUACCUGCAGAGAAAGCGCCGGCUAACUACGUGCCAGCAGCCGCGGUAAUACGUAGGGCGCGAGCGUUGUCCGGAAUUAUUGGGCGUAAAGAGCUUGUAGGCGGUUUGUCGCGUCUGCUGUGAAAGGCCGGGGGCUUAACUCCGUGUAUUGCAGUGGGUACGGGCAGACUAGAGUGCAGUAGGGGAGACUGGAAUUCCUGGUGUAGCGGUGGAAUGCGCAGAUAUCAGGAGGAACACCGAUGGCGAAGGCAGGUCUCUGGGCUGUAACUGACGCUGAGAAGCGAAAGCAUGGGGAGCGAACAGGAUUAGAUACCCUGGUAGUCCAUGCCGUAAACGUUGGGCACUAGGUGUGGGGGACAUUCCACGUUUUCCGCGCCGUAGCUAACGCAUUAAGUGCCCCGCCUGGGGAGUACGGCCGCAAGGCUAAAACUCAAAGAAAUUGACGGGGGCCCGCACAAGCGGCGGAGCAUGCGGAUUAAUUCGAUGCAACGCGAGGAACCUUACCAAGGCUUGACAUAUACUGGACCGCAUCAGAGAUGGUGUUUCCCUUCGGGGCUGGUAUACAGGUGGUGCAUGGUUGUCGUCAGCUCGUGUCGUGAGAUGUUGGGUUAAGUCCCGCAACGAGCGCAACCCUCGUUCUAUGUUGCCAGCACGUUAUGGUGGGGACUCAUAGGAGACUGCCGGGGUCAACUCGGAGGAAGGUGGGGAUGACGUCAAAUCAUCAUGCCCCUUAUGUCUUGGGCUUCACGCAUGCUACAAUGGCCGGUACAGAGGGUUGCGAUACUGUGGGGUGGAGCUAAUCCCUAAAAGCCGGUCUCAGUUCGGAUUGGGGUCUGCAACUCGACCCCAUGAAGUCGGAGUCGCUAGUAAUCGCAGAUCAGCAACGCUGCGGUGAAUACGUUCCCGGGCCU